CUCCUUGGAACUCAACUAUUUCACAAAGCAAACUUUACCACGUUGUGACAGCCUCUAGGCGUGUGCAAUAGGCCUUCGGGUCAACUCCGAACACCAACUAUAUAGUCCUACCUUUAACCAUCAGUUUGCACACUCUUCUUUCAGCCACCCUCUGUAUCCAAGAGGUGAGGACAGCGUCAGCUCCCUACCUACCAGCAAACUGAGAUGGGACGGACAUCUAAGGAUAAACGGGAUGUCUACUACCGCCUGGCCAAGGAGAAGGGCUGGCGGGCCCGAAGUGCUUUCAAGCUACUUCAACUUGAUGAGGAAUUCCAACUCUUCAAAGGUGUGAAGCGAGCAGUUGACUUGUGUGCAGCCCCAGGCAGCUGGAGCCAGGUGCUGAGCCAAAAGGUUG
rnacentral:lncRNA from 1 species